rnacentral:rRNA from 1 species
UACGUAGGGGGCUAGCGUUGUCCGGAAUCAUUGGGCGUAAAGCGCGUGUAGGCGGUCCGGUAAGUCCGCUGUGAAAGUCGGGGGCUCAACCCUCGGAUGCCGGUGGAUACUGUCGGGCUUGAGUACGGAAGAGGCGAGUGGAAUUCCUGGUGUAGCGGUGAAAUGCGCAGAGUAUCAGGAGGAACACCAAUUGCGAAGGCAGCUCGCUGGGACGUUACUGACGCUGAGACGCGAAGCG